rnacentral:rRNA from 1 species
CACGUAGGGUGCGAGCGUUGUCCGGAAUUAUUGGGCGUAAAGGGCGCGUAGGCGGCGCGGUAAGUCACUUGUGAAAUCUCUGAGCUUAACUCAGAACGGCCAAGUGAUACUGCAGUGCUAGAGUGUGGAAGGGGCAAUCGGAAUUCUUGGUGUAGCGGUGAAAUGCGUAGAUAUCAAGAGGAACACCUGAGGUGAAGACGGGUUGCUGGGCCAACACUGACGCUGAUGCGCGAAAGCCAGGGGAGCAAACGGG